UCGGGAAUUUUGGGCAAUGGGCGAAAGCCUGACCCAGCAACGCCGCGUGAGGGAUGAAGUAUUUCGGUAUGUAAACCUCGAAAGAAUAGGAAGAAUAAAUGACGGUACUAUUUAUAAGCUCCGGCUAACUACGUGCCAGCAGCCGCGGUAAUACGUAGGGAGCAAGCGUUGUUCGGAUUUACUGGGCGUAAAGGGCGCGUAGGCGGCCUGACAGGUCACUUGUGAAAUCUCCGAGCUUAACUCGGAACGG
rnacentral:rRNA from 1 species